CUUCGUAGGUGACCUGCGGAAGGAUCAUUAUCGUUGGGCUUCGGCCCAUUCGAGAUAACACCCUUGCCUUUUUGAGUACCUUUUCGUUUCCUCGGCAGGCUCGCCUGCCAACGGGGACCCUUCAAAACGCUUUGUAAUACCUGUAAUUGUCUGAUAUAACAAGCAAAAAUCAAAACUUUCAACAACGGAUCUCUUGGUUCUGGCAUCGAUGAAGAACGCAGCGAAAUGCGAUAAGUAGUGUGAAUUGCAGAAUUCAGUGAAUCAUCGAAUCUUUGAACGCACAUUGCGCCCUUUGGUAUUCCUUAGGGCAUGCCUGUUCGAGCGUCAUUUAAACCUUCAAGCUCAGCUUGGUGAUGGGCGACUGUCCCCCCCCCUCGCGGGGGGGACUCGCCUCAAAAACAUUGGCGGCCGGUACAUUGGCUUCGAGCGCAGCAGAAACGCGGUCUCGAGCCCGGUGGAUCGGCUCCCAUAAGCCUAUUCUUUUAUUUUGACCUCGGAUCAGGUAGGGAUACCCGCUGAACUUAAGCAUAUCAAUAAGCGGAGGAAAAGAAACCAACAGGGAUUGCCCUAGUAACGGCGAGUGAAGCGGCAACAGCUCAAAUUUGAAAUCUGGCCCUUUCAGGGUCCGAGUUGUAAUUUGUAGAGGGUGCUUUGGCGUUGGCUGUGGUCUAAGUUCCUUGGAACAGGACGUCGCAGAGGGUGAGAAUCCCGUAUGUGGCCGCCAGUCUUCGCCGUGUAAAGCCCCUUCGACGAGUCGAGUUGUUUGGGAAUGCAGCUCUAAAUGGGAGGUAAAUUUCUUCUAAAGCUAAAUAUUGGCCAGAGACCGAUAGCGCACAAGUAGAGUGAUCGAAAGAUGAAAAGCACUUUGGAAAGAGAGUCAAAAAGCACGUGAAAUUGUUGAAAGGGAAGCGCUUGCAGCCAGACUUGCCUGUAGUUGCUCAUCCGGGCUUUUGCCCGGUGCACUCUUCUAUGGGCAGGCCAGCAUCAGUCCCAGCGGUUGGAUAAAUGCCUGUUGAAUGUACCUCUCCUCGGGGAGGACUUAUAGCUUCAGGCGGCAUACAACCAGCCGGGAUUGAGGUCCGCGCAUCUGCUAGGAUGCU
rnacentral:rRNA from 1 species